rnacentral:piRNA from 1 species
UGGCCAAAGAACUUGGAAGCCUGGCA